CCUGCUUUCCAUACAGGAUACCACACUUGUCUGGCUGCAAUCACUGAACUUCUUUUAACAAGGUUGACUCGUAUAAUAGGUAAAGAACAAUGCUCUCACGGCUAAGAGAUAUCAUGUUACUAAUGGCCAUUUCCAUUUUAUGGACCAGUACCCAAGGACAGACGACCACAAAUGAGGAUUCUACAAGCCAUCUUGCUACU